rfam:Oryctes borbonicus contig15715, whole genome shotgun sequence.
GUGGGGUACGGUGAUAUGGUGCCCAAGACUUAUAUUGGCAUGUUCGUAGGCGCCCUUUGUGCCCUAGCGGGUGUAUUAACGAUAGCAUUGCCCGUACCUGUUAUUGUAUCCAAC